AGCUUGCUGUCAGACUUUUGAAAGUAGAUCUAAAUCAACUCUCCGAUAUUUUGAAUUACUCGGAUCACUGUAUUGCUCUACCCUUACUGAUGGUAAUCCGAUCUCAAAUGGGAUCAUUGCUUCUGUUCCAUAAGCUAGAUUAAAUGACGAUUCUUCCAUUGGUAUGUGAGUCGUUCGGUAUGCCCAUAAGAUCGGAUAUAAUUCUUCUACCCAGAAGUCUUUAGCUUCAUCAGUCUGGUUUUGAGUCCAUGUAGAAUUGUUUGGUUGGUUACCUCCACCUCUCCAUUGGAUUGUGGAUGGCCGACUGAUGUAAGUUUGUACGUUAUAUAAAAUUUGGCACAGAACUCUUUGAAAUUCUGAUUGUCGAAUUGCCGAU
rnacentral:lncRNA from 1 species